rnacentral:rRNA from 1 species
CCUACGGGAGGCAGCAGUGAGGAAUAUUGGUCAAUGGCCGUAAGGCUGAACCAGCCAAGUCGCGUGAAGGAAGAAGGAUCUAUGGUUUGUAAACUUCUUUUAUAGGGGAAUAAAGGUAUCCACGUGUGGAUAUUUGCAUGUACCCUAUGAAUAAGCAUCGGCUAACUCCGUGCCAGCAGCCGCGGUAAUACGGAGGAUGCGAGCGUUAUCCGGAUUUAUUGGGUUUAAAGGGUGCGUAGGUUGUUUUUUAAGUCAGCGGUGAAAGUUUGUGGCUCAACCAUAAAAUUGCCGUUGAAACUGGAAGACGUGAGUGGGUUUGAGGUAGGCGGAAUGCGUGGUGUAGCGGUGAAAUGCAUAGAUAUCACGCAGAACUCCGAUUGCGAAGGCAGCUUACUAAGCCAUAACUGACACUGAAGCACGAAAGCGUGGGGAUCAAACAGGAUUAGAUACCCGGGUAGUC